GGGCUGCGGGCACGCAGGGAACCGCGAGGCUCGGCCCGGGCCCCCUGGAGACCCUGUCUCUGCAUGUCGGACGGUGACGCUUUACUCCUGAGUUACAGCUUCGCCUCUGGCUUUAAAAGUCGCACGAGUCUAGUAGCGUGCAGUAAUUUGACCUUUUAACGUUAAUGGUCAGCAGAAUUGACUUUUUCGUAUGAAAACUGUGAUUCGAAGCGAUCGUUUGACUUCAUGUCACCAGCGGCACAGUCAGGAGACUUCGCUCCCCGAGGAACUCCUUGGCGCUGUCCCUUUCUGGCCACAUCCUCCUUCGCGCUAACUUUUGCCAGUCACCGACCUGUUCUCCGUUGUUACAUUGUGUCUUUGAGAGAAGGUCGCAUCCACGGAAUUACGCACCGAAUUAGGGACGUGUAACACAGGAAACCGAUUUGGACAUGCAUUAUUACGGCUUCGAUACUCAUCCGUGUAGUAGCAGGAACUAUGACUCACUGCAGCUGCCUGGCAACCCUAGAGAGGAUGGGACUGCAGACCACUAUCCUGGGAAAAGGUGAACAUUCAAAAUUUGAAGGAGGGUUUCAACUAAAUGCACGUUGCUUUCACACCAUCUUAAGGCCAAGAAACUAGCAGAUUGCGAAGUCCACAAUUCAGUGUGUUCUGGGGAGAGGACAGAAGGAAGCCAAGGACUUCAGCACCACCUACUGCAGCCAAAAUAAGGUCACCAGCAUUUGGAAGUAUUUUGGCCACACUGCCUCCCACAUUAAUGCAGUUUGAAGUGCAGUUUGAAGUGCAGUUCUCCUCUCACCCUCCUCCCUCAAGUGCUCUGGUGCCUUGGGGAAGCCCGGCUCAGUGAGGACAGAGUCAGAGCCCCAGGCUGGGUCUUCAGAGAGGGCGCCACAAGAGAAGCAGCCCUGGGAGGGCAAGCUUCCGGGAGCUCCUAGAACACCAGCUGUCGUUCAACG